rnacentral:rRNA from 1 species
CACGGGGGGAGCAAGCGUUGUCCGGAAUUAUUGGGCGUAAAGGGCUCGUAGGCGGUCUGUCACGUCGGGAGUGAAAACUUACAGCUUAACUGUGAGCGUGCUUUCGAUACGGGCAGACUUGAGGCAUUCAGGGGAGAACGGAAUUCCUGGUGUAGCGGUGAAAUGCGCAGAUAUCAGGAGGAACACCGGUGGCGAAGGCGGUUCUCUGGGAAUGUCCUGACGCUGAGGAGCGAAAGUGUGGGGAGCGAGCAGG